GUAGGUGGCAAGCGUUGUCCGGAAUUAUUGGGCGUAAAGCGCGCGCGGGCGGUUCUUUAAGUCUGAUGUGAAAGCCCACGGCUCAACCGUGGAGGGUCAUUGGAAACUGGAGAACCUGAGUACAGAAGAGGAAAGCGGAAUUCCACGUGUAGCGGUGAAAUGCGUAGAGAUGUGGAGGAACACCAGUGGCGAAGGCGGCUUUCUGGUCUGUAACCGACGCUGAGGCGCGAAAGCGUGGGGAGCAAACAGGGAUUAGAUACCCUGGUAGUCCACGCCGUAAACGAUGAGUGCUAAGUGUUAGGGGGUUUCCCGCCCCUUAGUGCUGCAGCUAACGCAUUAAGCACUCCGCCUGGGGAGUACGGCCGCAAGGCUG
rnacentral:rRNA from 1 species